GAUCAGUCUGAAACUAACUUAUGGUGAAUGCUCUAAGCCAAGCAGCGCUCCUGGAGGGUCGGCCAAACACGAACCUCAUUGAGAGAAAAUGAACACACCUGCUCGGAUCACUAGAAACCCCCCCUGAGGCAGAAUGUAAAUGUGGGUGUGCAGGGAAACCACCGGUGCACAGAGGCAACGCUAAACCCUUCCCCCCGAAACGGUAAACAGCUGAACAAAGCCAACAAUGCAGAGCGUCCUUUACAAGCCCGGAGCACAAACCAGAGACUUCCCCUCGCUAACAAUGAGUGCUGAAUGCCGCUGAGGUCAUCUGGAAAUGGGGCGGGAGGCAGAGGAGGAGAGAGCGAGAGAAAACAAACCUUCAAAUUCUCAUCUGGGAUCUAAAUACCAAGCCGAGGGGGUUCAGAUCCAGCACCAUGAACCUUCUGUCCCCUCAGUGAAGGCUAGGACCAGCUACAGAUAACACAUCAGCAUUAGGGCAUUAGGAACAUUUUCAAAUGAUGAUAUCAGGUCUGAUAUCUGCCUGUUUUCUUCUUUUCUCAUCUGUGCUUCCAUCAUUCUGUGACCUUUAGCCUGGGUAAGGUCAUCAGUGUCCGGUGUGAGACUCUACACACACCGAUCCUGUGAUGGUUUACUCAGGAUAUGUUGUCCAGCUUGGACUUUCAGCCGUUACCCUGGAUUUUAAAAGCCCGACAAGCCUUUUGACACAAUGUUAACCCUCCCUUCACCCCCCUCGGACCAAAGGAAGAGGACAUCUGAUAGGUGGACGGACGAUGAGGUCCAGGCAUGUAGGAGUUCUGGCUCCUACGAGCCAGAACGCGGGUCUUUGGGUCGGACAUACGGAAUGAUGCCGGCAGUAUUGUGAUGAUGGAAAAGAAACAGACUGAGAAAAACAUAAUCUAAUGAACACAUUGAAUGGGAUUAACUUGUUUGUUCUGAUCCUGAUCAGCUUUAAUACCAGAACCGGACUGCAUGUGAACCAGUUUUAUAAUUCUUAGGAUUCAACAUCCCAAUCUGGAAAAAAAUUGGUAUCAGUCAGAGAAGCCUGAUCAGUGCAUCCGCAGUAGUAGCCUAUGUUCAUCCAGCAGACCAGCAGUGUGCAGCAACAGACUUGGAAAAGGAUGAAGAAACCCUGUUAAAUGAAUCAGCCGGUGCACUCUCACAGCUGCAGGUUCAACAGCUCCAAGAUACAAGAAACUGCUGGUCCACCGCUGAAUCAUCUGUUAAUUAAAGUGUCUUCUCCCCACACACACACACACACACACACAGAUCUGUAAUAUUAACCCACAGUGACUCUGGCAGGCCUCUGUGUGAAGUCAGUCCACGUGUUUUUCAGGCCAAUCCUGUGAAAACUUCUUUGGUUUUAGCUCUGAAACGUAAAUAAUCUGUUUUCCAAAUGUUUCUGUUUUGCAGUCCUAAUUAUGCCAUUUUCUAGAGACUUGUUAUGACUAAAUAAUAAAAUCCAGUGGUUAAAAAAAGAUUUACAAGCUGAUUAACUGUUUGACUAAUCAGUCGUGAAGUGAAUCAAAGUAUUAAGAGGUUAGUUACAGUUUCAGAACCUUUUCUAACUGUUCCUACGGCUCAAAUUCAGAUUUCAGACAAACUGCGGGAGGGAAAGAAGUUUUAUUCAGCUGGAUGGAGCGUAGAGUUGCCGAGCACUGCCAGUCAGCAGGCUGAAAGAAAACACCAACACUUUGACUGAAUAAUUAACUUUUUUGUUUAGGUCUAUUAAUCAGGUCUGUAAUGUUAGAUUUUUCUAGCAGCAUUAAUAAUAAUUGUUGCUUUCCUGUAUUAAAUAAAAGGCAGUAAAAUUACCUUUUUCCUGUUGUAAAUGCACAUAUUUACACCAAAACCAUUCUAUGUAAAUCCAUCCUAUUUUGCCUCAGUGUUGUCAUAUCUGCUGCUGAUUACUUCUAGCUGCUUGUUAAAUCACUUUACUGCAGAGGAUCCCUGUAAUGAAAAGCUGGGAACUUUCUGGGUGGAUUUAUGUCUGCUUACAUGGAUUUUCUCCAGCAAACCGACAGGUGCAACCACAGGAGGAGUGAAACGGAUCAAUCAGCCAAUUAACGCUACAUUAACAAGCAAUUAUUUAUCCGGUUCAUAAGCAAAAUAAAGGGGGCGACCUCAGUAGGGUGGGAGUUUUUCUUUGAGGACUUUCAAACCUUUUGGUUUUUAAAUCUUGAAAUAAAUAAAAACGUUUCAAUCAAGCAUUUUUUUUAGGUUCGACAGCAAAAACACUGAUCAAUCUUAAUAUGCUUUGUUAUUUCUUUGGGAAAUCUUCAUUCUGCUCUUAAAUUAUGUUUCAAAUCAGCUUCUUGUUUCUGCUGCUGGUCAUGUUCAGCAGCAAGAGCCUCUGACUACUGAGGGAUGAUAUGAGCUGCCUGGUUUACAGCACUCUGAGCGGAGUUCCCCACAUUACUGACAUGUAAAGCCCAAACAGUGCAGACCCACACAGGCACCAUGGAUGUUUAGAGUACCGGCAUGUUUGGUGGGAGACAGCUGCAUGGGGGGGGGUGGUUCUGAGAUGUGGUUUAACUGAAUGACUGUGAGCUGAGGAGGGAGAUAACCACAAGAGUGAAAGCUGCAGAAAAGCAAGUCAUCCUGCAACUGUAGGCUUGUGUCAACAGAGGAGCGUGUUUACGGUCCGUUAUUACUGAAACAUUUGAAUUCAUCUGGCUGUGCUGUCCUAUCAGAACCUCUGCUGUGAUCAGAGCAUUUCAUGGCAUCCACCUGAACGGGUCAAAGAUCCAACAAAUCAACAACUCUAAAGUGAGGGAACUACAGACAGAAAAAACCAAAAUGCUUCUUUGGUUGUAUCAAACCUAAAAGGUCCUGAACGAUCAGAACCGGUUCGAGUCCUCCCAGUCACAACA